rnacentral:lncRNA from 1 species
CCUUUCAGAGUUGAGGGGAUGUAAAUGCAGAUCUUGCUUGUGAAAGAGCUGAAUUGUGAAUUUCAAUUAUUUGCAAGGACUAUGACUUCCAUAUUUGGAUAUACUCAGCAUCUACCAUGAUAUCUGACACAUAGUGUUAAUAAAUAAAUAUUAAUAAAUAAAACUGGUCAAAUUGCAAAGUUUUUGUACCAUGAACAUGUUAAUUAUUCAUAUUAAUAAAUUUAGCCUUUCAAAAUACCUUAAUAAUAUUCAUUAAUUUAUUUAUAAGGAUCUGGAUGUAGAAAAAAAAAUUUUCUGUGUGUGUGUAUAGUAACAAAAUACCAAUAGUUUUAUUGAGGUAAAACAUGAUAAACUUGGAAUCUGCUAUGAUUUGAAUGUCCCCUCCAAAACUCAUGUUGAAAUUUAAUUGCCAGUAUGAUGGUAUUUGGAGGUGGGGUCUUUAAAAAGUGAUUAAGUCAUGAGGGCUUCACCCUCAUGAAUAGACUAAUGUUACCACAAGAGUGGGUUGGUUAUCAUAUGGCAGGGUAGUUAUAAAAGUGAGGCCAGCCCCUGAUGUUCUGCUCUCUUGCAUAUGCUUGCUCUCCCUUCUGCUCUUUUGCCACGGGAUAUUGCAGCAUGAAAGCUCUCACCAGAUAUAAGCACCGUGCUUUUGGAAUUCUCAGCCCCCAAAAUGACUUCAUCUUCAUUGGUGACACAUCACAGAAGCUGAGGUCCAUCAUGGAUUUCUAAAGAUAAUUCAUCCAGAUGCCUCUUUGGUCAGCUCCACUAACCAGCUGGAACACAUCAUUUCUUCCUCUCCAAUCCCAGCACCAAUUAUUCACCCAAAUAAUGACCAGACGUUAGCAGCUUACUUGGAAAUAGUGUCCUGUGGUUCCAGCUGAUUCUCUGUCUCUGACCACUGCUGGGAAGGCUCCAUAGGCCUCUUCCUUCCCACGCUGCGUCAUUCCAAUCUAGCUACCAGGAAACUCUGUCAUGCAGAUGAUAGAUCUCAUGUGUCUCUAAAUCUGCACACCAUCACCUAUCUGCCCCUUGUUGCCUAUUAUGUUCCUUCUAUUAAUGAAUUCAUACAAAUACAUACAUUUUAUUUAUAAGAAUUCUUGCCUUCUGUCCCUUUCUCAUUCAAACAAAAUUUAUUGCUCUAUUCUGUCUUAAUUUCUUAUGAAAGAAAACAUUUGACCUACUCAAC